ACUGUCCCUAGAGGUGUUCCAGAGCUGUGUGGAUGUGGCACUGAGGACAUGGCAGGUCAUCUGAGGCAGCACAACUGUUUGGUUGGUUACUCCAGAUUCUUAAAGACAAGAUUGGACAUGCUUGUUUUGACCAGAGGACAGUCUCUUCUGGUGUCAUGCUGUAAGAGACAUCAUGAUCAGAAGGUGAGGAAAGAGGAAACAGCUCCUUCAGGGGAAGAGGCAAGGAAGAAAGGAAACAGAAGGAAGAAACGAAAAGGAAGGAAGAAAACACAAGGGAAGGAUGGGAGAGAGGGAGGGAGGAAGGAAGGGAAGAGGGAAGGAAGGAAAGAAAAGGAAGGAAUGAAAAGG
ensembl:lncRNA